rnacentral:tRNA from 1 species
CGAGACAUGGUGUAAACGGAAAGCAUUGGCAGCCUUAACCCCCUCAAACCCUCUGUCAGAUGCCGGUUCGAUUCCGGCUGUCUCGA